GAACUCCAUUAACUGUUGAAGAAGAAAUUAAUAACCAUAUACAUAGUAAUAAUAAACAUAAUAAAUAAGUAAUACAAAGAAAUAAGACUGGACUGCUACAGAGCUACCUGAAAAUUUAGUAGAAGAAUUUAUUGUUGCGACUGAAGGACAAUACUCACUGGGGGACAAUAUACGUACAUAGUUCAAGAAAAUAAAGGCUUUAUAAGCAACAACACUACGUGCUUCCGAUUCUACGUAGCAUUCGGUUUCAAGAAAAUAAACGAAGUUGUAGUUGUCAAAGUUGCUCGCAGCCGGCAGACGGAGCGGUAAGUCGCCGCUGCCAUCCAUCAUUUCGUGGCCAGUACCAGCACCAAGUAGGUGGAGUAGUUUAGUACAUUUUGUGCUCAUUUCAGAUGUUUGUGUGUAAUUUCUUAGCAGUGACACGACAUAUUCGUGUCUAGAAUUGUGAAUGUAAUAU